ACUCAAAGGAAUAGACGGGGGCCCGCACAAGCAGCGGAGCGUGUGGUUUAAUUCGAUGCAACGCGAAGAACCUUACCCAGGCUUGACAUGCGCGUGGUACGGAGCUGAAAGGCGAAGGACCCGCAAGGGAGCGCGCACAGGUGCUGCAUGGCUGUCGUCAGCUCGUGCCGUGAGGUGUUGGGUUAAGUCCCGCAACGAGCGCAACCCCCGCUGCCAGUUGAGUCUCUGGCGGGACCGCCGGGUUGAACCCGGAGGAAGGUGGGGAUGACGUCAAGUCAGCACGGCCCGUACGUCUGGGGCUACACACACGCUACAAUGGCUGGUACAGAGGGGAGCGAGGGGGCGACCCGGAGCGAAUCCCGCGAAAGCCGGUCACAGUGGGGAUCGGGGGCUGCAACUCGCCCCCGUGAACGCGGAGUUGCUAGUAACCGCCGGUCAGCACACGGCGGUGAAUACGUUCCCGGGCCUUGUACACACCGCCCGU
rnacentral:rRNA from 1 species